UACGAAGGGGGCAAGCGGUGUUCGGAAUUACUGGGCGUAAAGCGCUCGUAGGUGGAUUGGAAAGUUAGAUGUGAAAGCCCAGGGCUCAACCUUGGAACUGCAUUUAAAACUACUGGUCUAGAGUCAGCUAGGGGACGAUGGAAUUCCAUGUGUAGCGGUGAAAUGCGUAGAUAUAUGGAGGAACACCAGAGGCGAAGGCGAUCGUCUGGGGCUGUACUGACACUGAGGAGCGAAAGCGUGGGGAGCAAACAGG
rnacentral:rRNA from 1 species